rnacentral:rRNA from 1 species
UUAACGAGGCUGCUUGCAGCCGAAGUGAGUGAUACCCUGCUUCCAGGAAAAGCCACUAAGCUUCAGCUACACACGACCGUACCGCAAACCGACACUGGUGCGCGAGAUGAGUAUUCUAAGGCGCUUGAGAGAACUCAGGAGAAGGAACUCGGCAAAUUGAUACCGUAACUUCGGGAGAAGGUAUGCCCCAAGUAGGUGAACCUGUACAAGGCGAGCCCAAAGGGGUUGCAAAAAAUCGGUGGCUGCGACUGUUUAAUAAAAACACAGCACUCUGCAAACACGAAAGUGGACGUAUAGGGUGUGACGCCUGCCCGGUGCUGGAAGAUUAAAUGAUGGGGUGCAAGCUCUUGACUGAAGUCCCAGUAAACGGCGGCCGUAACCAUAACGGUCCUAAGGUAGCGAAAUUCCUUGUCGGGUAAGUUCCGACCUGCACGAAUGGCGUAACGAUGGCCACACUGUCUCCUCCUGAGACUCAGCGAAGUUGAAAUGUUUGUGAUGAUGCAAUCUCCCCGCGGAAAGACGGAAAGACCCCAUGAACCUUUACUGUAGCUUUGUAUUGGACUUUGAACAGAUCUGUGUAGGAUAGGUGGGAGGCUUUGAAGUGAGGUCGCUAGAUCUCAUGGAGCCAACGUUGAAAUACCACCCUGGUGUGUUUGAGGUUCUAACCUAGGUCCAUUAUCUGGAUCGGGGACAGUGCAUGGUAGGCAGUUUGACUGGGGCGGUCUCCUCCCAAAGCGUAACGGAGGAGUUCGAAGGUACGCUAGUUACGGUCGGACAUCGUGACGAUAGUGCAAUGGCAUAAGCGUGCUUAACUGCGAGACUGACAAGUCGAGCAGAUGCGAAAGCAGGACAUAGUGAUCCGGUGGUUCUGUAUGGAAGGGCCAUCGCUCAACGGAUAAAAGGUACUCUGAGGAUAACAGGCUGAUACCGCCCAAGAGUUCAUAUCGACGGCGGUGUUUGGCACCUCGAUGUCGGCUCAUCUCAUCCUGGGGCUGUAGCCGGUCCCAAGGGUAUGGCUGUUCGCCAUUUAAAGAGGUACGUGAGCUGGGUUUAAAACGUCGUGAGACAGUUUGGUCCCUAUCUUCCGUGGGCGCUGCAGAUUUGAGGAAGCCUGCUCCUAGUACGAGAGGACCGGAGUGGACACACCUCUGGUGUAUCGGUUGUCACGCCAGUGGCAUUGCCGAGUAGCUAAGUGUGGAAGAGAUAACCGCUGAAAGCAUCUAAGCGGGAAACUCGUUUCAAGAUGAGAUCUGCCGGGGCCUUGAGCCCCCUAAAGAGUCGUUCAAGACCAGGACGUUGAUAGGUCAGGUGUGGAAGC